UACGUAGGUGGCGAGCGUUGUCCGGAAUUAUUGGGCGUAAAGAGCAUGUAGGCGGCUUAAUAAGUCGAGCGUGAAAAUGCGGGGCUCAACCCCGUAUGGCGCUGGGAACUGUUAGGCUUGAGUGCAGGAGAGGAAAGGGGAAUUCCCAGUGUAGCGGUGAAAUGCGUAGAUAUUGGGAGGAACACCAGUGGCGAAGGCGCCUUUCUGGACUGUGUCUGACGCUGAGAUGCGAAAGCCAGGGUAGCGAACGGGAUUAGAUACCCCGGUAGUCCUGGCCGUAAACGAUGGGUACUAGGUGUAGGAGGUAUCGACCCCUUCUGUGCCGGAGUUAACGCAAUAAGUACCCCGCCUGGGGAGUACGGCCGCAAGGUUGAAACUUAAAGAAAUUGACGG
rnacentral:rRNA from 1 species